rnacentral:rRNA from 1 species
AUUGAACGCUGGCGACGUGCUUAACACAUGCAAGUCGAGCGAGAAAGUUCUCUUCGGAGAGCGAGUAGAGCGGCGCACGGGUGAGUAACGCGUGGAUGAUCUACCCCGAGACUGGGAUAACAGUUGGAAACGACUGCUAAUACCAGAUGUUCUCAUUUUCACCUUUUGAGGUAAAGGUGGCCUCUAUUUAUAAGCUACCGCUUGGGGAUGAGUCCGCGUUUCAUUAGAUUGUUGGUGGGGUAAUGGCCUACCAAGUCUACGAUGAAUAGCUGGUCAGAGAGGAUGAUCAGCCACACUGGAACUGAAACACGGUCCAG